CCCUCACGGCCUCCCCUUUUCUUUUCCAGCAGCCCCAAGAAGAAGACGAGUCAAGAGAGCCGGCGAUGUCAAGAUCACUUCCUUUUCUGGGGCCCCCAUUCCCCCUCUUUCUUUUCCUUCUCUAUAUAUAUCAAUGGAGCUGUGCCAGUCUCCGGGGAGGAGCCGAUGGAUUGCACGCCGGCGCCGUAGAAAAUCAAGAGGUGUGCAGAUACAGGUCAGGAAGAAGCCCCAAGAAGAAGAAGAAGCAAGCGACCUGACCCGGAGAUUUCAAGAUGACUUCUUUUCCUUUUCUGGGCCCCCCGUUUUCCCCCCUUCUUUUCCAUAUUAAUGUUGAUAUGUUUAAAAAUCAAAUUAGAUUUUUUAUCUCUAUUUAAGCCCAAUAGCCUGGUGCCUUUUUUUCCAAGGGAGGUGGGUGGGUGAGGAAGUCGGGUGGCGGGCGAGAGGGAGCCCACAGUCCCCCAGCGGGGGCCCUGGGCAGGCGGGCAUGGGGCAGGCAUGGGGUGUCUGGCUCUUGUCCCCUUCGCUUCCCCACCCCACCCAUGAGGAUGGGGAGAAAAGAGUUCCCCUCCCAAGUGAGUUCGAGAGUGAAGGGAGAGGUGAUGGUCACCACCUGUCUCUUCUAGGGGAACAUUCUGGGCCUGUCUUACAAGUGAGCAAGCGUGUGUUUCUGUGUGUGUGAUGGAGGUUCCAGAAAGACCAGGCUGCCCCCCCCCAGACCUGAAAACGGUCUUGGUCCGAGAGGCAGCGAAAGGACUGGCCCUUCUCUUGACCUUUGUACACCAAGGGAUGAAUCAGGUCCCUCCUCCUUUGCUCCUGGACAGCAUCGUCUUAAAGGUGCUUGGCGAAGACAGGAGCCCCCCCUCCUUCUCUCCUGCCCUUCCGAAUCCUCUCCCCAUAUUUCCUGUCCCCUUUCCUCCUGCCCUUCCGAAUCAUCUCCCCGUGUCUCCUGCCCCCUUUACUCCUGCCCCUAACAAGUCCUCCUCGGGUGUCUUCCACCCUAAUCCGUCCUGGCCCCAA